ensembl:lncRNA
CAGAGCUGGCCCCUGGGCACUGCCACCCACAUAAACAGUCCUGCUGUCUCCCAGCAUGCUUCACUCCCACAGCCAAGAGGAGGGGAGGGGGGCGUUGAUAUUGGCAGAGGCUCUGUGAUGGCCCCACACUGGAAACUUCAUCAGUGAAUCAUGCUCAGCUCCACUGUGCACAUACAGAAAGGAUAGCAAUGAACUUCCUCUCUAUCUCUCUUUCAUAAACACAACACACACACAGACACAGACACACACAAUCUGGUGUCCUUUGCAUCAAAGUUCGCACUAAGAAGAAAAAAACGGAAAAAAAAUCUUAUGGGGAAAAAAGUUCUGCCACAACAACAAAAAAAUACCCCUGCUUACUCACUCUAGUACUCUCAAGUUCUCUGUUUCUCACACUCUGAUAUUCUCAACUGUAAGAAGAGGCCCAGUGAAAGCUGAAUGCUGACACAAUGAAAAUGUUUGAAGAUGGGAACCAAUACAGCAUGCUUGAAUGGAAAAAACUGAUAAAACACUCCAAAAUGUCGCUUGCUGAUAUGAAAGGUCUGGUCUGGAAACCCCGCGCAAACGAAGAGGAACACACGGACUGAACAAGGGGAAGCGGGACAGUGCCAGGGUGCAAAGUUUUAUGAGUUGGUCUCAACCGAACUCACCACAUUCCCACCGUCCUGCAGCCGAGGGACGUGACUCUAGCCACGCCGGAGCUGCAGCCAAACCACAGCUCACUUAAGGUCACACACAAAAACUCUCAUGCUCCCCCCCCCCAUGCAUAUAUCUGGCACAUUGACCAACAUGUGUUGAGAGUCUCAACUUUCAUAAUCAGCUUUGCAUUGGUUAACAAUGAUUCAACAAAUCGAUUGAAUGGACAAUACAAAAACAAUUAACAUGCAAACAGAACCACUUCUGCAAUAUUUGGCUAUAUUGUGUAAAAUAAAUUAAUAUCACAAAACA